rnacentral:rRNA from 1 species
AUUGAACGCUGGCGGAAUGCUUUACACAUGCAAGUCGAACGGCAGCACGGGGCAACCUGGUGGCGAGUGGCGAACGGGUGAGUAAUACAUCGGAACGUGCCCAAUCGUGGGGGGAUAACGUAGCGAAAGUUACGCUAAUACCGCAUACGAUCUACGGAUGAAAGCGGGGGAUCGCAAGACCUCGCGCGAGUGGAGCGGCCGAUGUCAGAUUAGGUAGUUGGUGGGGCAAAGGCUCACCAAGCCAACGAUCUGUAGCUGGUCUGAGAGGACGACCAGCCACACUGGAACUGAGACACGGUCCAGACUCCUACGGGAGGCAGCAGUGGGGAAUUUUGGACAAUGGGCGAAAGCCUGAUGCAGCGACGCCGCGUGAGCGAAGAAGGUCCUCGGUUGUAAAGCUCUGUCUGGAGGGACGGAAGGAAGGUAGGACGGUAACCGUCCGGACGGAAGACCGACCGGGACUAACUAACGUCGCCAGCAGCCGACGGUAACAAUACUCGUA